rfam:Papio anubis isolate 1X1155 chromosome 11, whole genome shotgun sequence.
UAUUAGGUUGGUGCAAAAGUAAUCGUGGUCUUUGACAUUAAAAGUAAUGGCAAAGACCACGAUUACUUUUGCACCAACCUAAUA